rnacentral:rRNA from 1 species
UGGGGAAUUUUGGACAAUGGGCGAAAGCCUGAUCCAGCAAUGCCGCGUGAGUGAUGAAGGACUUCGGUUCGUAAAGCUCUGUUGUACGGGAAUAAAAAAAUGAGUGUACCGUACGAGUAAGGAUCGGCUAACUUCGUGCCAGCAGCCGCGGUAAGACGAGGGAUCCUAGCGUUGCUCGGAAUUAUUGGGCGUAAAGCGGGUGUAGGUGGCUUGGUAAGUCGGGUGUGAAAGCCCAGGGCUCAACCCUGGAAGUGCAUUCGAUACUGCUGAGCUUGAGUGCGAGAGAGGUUAUUAGAAUGCCUGGUGUAGUGGUGAAAUACGUAGAUAUCAGGCGGAACACCGGAGGCGAAGGCGGAUAACUGGCUCGACACUGACACUGAGACCCGAAAGCGUGGGGAUCAAACAGG